UGGUUUCCUAAUCCAAAGCAAAGCAGCCA
rnacentral:piRNA from 1 species